rnacentral:rRNA from 1 species
AAUGAACGUUGGCGGCGUGGAUUAGGCAUGCAAGUCGUACGGGCCGCAAGGCCAGUGGCGCAAGGGUGAGUAAGGCGACGGUAACCAACCCCAUGAUCGGGUAUAGCCGCGGGAAACCGCGGGUAAUCCCCGGCGACGUCCCGAGGAGGCAUCUCCCCGGGACCCAAAGCUCCGGCGUCGUGGGACGGGCUGUCGUGGUAUUAGCUAGUUGGCGGGGUGACGGCCCACCAAGGCGAUGAUGCCUACCGGGCGUGCGAGCGUGGCCCGGCACACUGGGACUGAGACACUGCCCAGACUCCUACGGGAGGCUGCAGUCGAGAAUCUUCGGCAAUGGGCGCAAGCCUGACCGAGCGACGCCGCGUGGAGGACGAAGGCCUUCGGUUGUU